rnacentral:piRNA from 1 species
UCAGAGGAUUUGAAGAAGGAUAAAUUAAGA